GACGAACGCUGGCGGCGUGCUUAACACAUGCAAGUCGAACGAUGAAGCAGAGAAACGCGCACUUCGGUUCAAAUUUCACUUCGGAUUAGUGGCAGACGGGUGAGUAACGCGCGAGCAACCUACCUCUUACAAAGGGAUAGCCUCGGGAAACCGUGAUUAAUACCAUAUGACACAUUCAUAAGGCAUCUUAAGAAUGUUAAAGCUACGGCGGUAAGAGAUGGGCUCGCGUCCCAUUAGCUAGUUGGUGAGGUAACGGCCCACCAAGGCGACGAUGGGUAACCGGCCUGAGAGGGUGAACGGUCACAUUGGAACUGAGACACGGUCCAAACUCCUACGGGAGGCAGCAGUGGGGAAUAUUGCACAAUGGAGGGAACUCUGAUGCAGCGACGCCGCGUGAGCGAUGAAGGAAUUCGUUUCGUAAAGCUCUGUUCUAUGGGAAGAAAAGGACUGUACCAUAGGAGAAAGCCCCGGCUAAAUACGU
rnacentral:rRNA from 1 species